rnacentral:lncRNA from 1 species
AAUACCACUAAUUUGUAACAAUUACAAAUUAGUCCAAUUAUCAACAUAUUGACAAUUAGGUCCUCUGGCGAUUCAAUAAUCGCGAUCUAGCUAUCCGAUCAAUCACAACCUCUUAUAUGUGUGACCCCAUAGGUUCUAUUCUAUCUGGUAGUGAGAUAUAUUUUGAUCACUAUCAACAAUAUCACUGAAACUCCUUUCAGUGGAUCGGAACAAUUCCAAUUCAGCCCAAUGAGAAAUAUCGAUCAUCUAGAUAAUUCUCAUGAGUCUCACAAUCCACCAGUGACGCCUAGCAGCAUGUAGUGGCAUUCCAGUAGAAUGGAAUACUGAACCUCUUGGUACAGUUACCGUGUGAUACAAUCCUUCUAUCAUGAGUCCCGACUAGACAGAGGUUAUAGAAUAACUCGUCAAACCCCAUCGUCUGUCAUAUGUUAAAUUUAUUCGACUCGAGUUUUUAAUAUCGGAAACCUUUUUUCGCUAUUUAUUCUGCCUUGACCAAGGUCUUCUAAACUCGGUCUCAUAAAUCACAUAGGACUAACACCCAUAUCUACCAAGGAAGAUAGAUUCCAUCUAAGUGCGCACCCUAUUCCUACAAUGAACCUACUGCAGCCAACAUGCACCGCAAGGACCCGAAUGGCUAGGGACCAAGCGUAUGUACAGUCAAACUACAGUAACCUCAUUGUGAAUAGCCGAGGCACCGUAGGUCAAAGGACCAGUCACACUACUGCAACAUUGAGUAAGUCACUGAUGAGUGAGUAGACAUCCAAGUGACUUCUCACGUUGGUCACGCUCGGUACCCUUGUUCUCUAACAACCACCUGCAUAUUCGCUUCAGUGUCCCCACACUGUCGACUCGAGACUCGUCUACCUAGAAAGGGAAGCGACCUAUGCACCAAUCUCACCGGAUCAAUCACCGUCCCCGUGAUGAUCCAUUGAUCGGGAGCAUUUAGGAAUUAACUACCAAUGACACAUGUCUCAAAUUCUCAACUCUUGAGAAUAUAAGUCAUUAUCUUAUUAAUUCCUUGGACGAUUCAUGGACACAUACACAACAUGAAUGGAAAUAAAAACCCAAAGUUAUUCAUAAUAUUUUAAAGUCAAAUACAAAUUUAUGUCCUAAAAAGUAUACAUAUGUCGGCCUGGUUGGCUUCUAGGGCAUACAUCUAACAAGAGAGAGGAGAGAAAAUGACCCAGCGUACGAAACAAAGAGGGUGAGGGAACGACGCAACAGAGAUUGGAGAAGGAACGCUGCAACGAACAGGAGAAGAAGGAAUGACGUACGGAGGGAAAGCAGAGAGGAAACGGUCUCUUCUGUACAAAAAAAUCGGAAUAAAGGGUGUAGCAUUUGAUGGAGGUGUUAUUGGGCUAGGAUGAUAGUAGCUCACUUGGGUUGAGUGUUUUAGAUUUGUAGCCUAUGGAUGGAGGUGUUAUAGGGAUAGGAUUGUCACGCCCCGAGACCGCUACCAAUUUGGUCCGGUUCGGGCGCGUCGAACAGACGCCGAACAGACAGCACCUCCCCUGUCCGUCCUAGGCUAACAACAAGAUCAUGUACAAGAAUUUGGCCAGGGAUAAUUCAAUGCAUACACGAUCCAACAAGGAGAGAAGCACAAAGAGUGCAAUACAACAAGAGCAAGUAACACAAGUAUACAUACAAGUGCAUAAAGAGAGGUACAUCUAGCUAUUACAUCACAUUUGACAUUCAACAUUUACAUUGAUUUGAUUUACAUUUUCAUCUCCCAAAAAUGAAUACGUGAUCAUCUCACAUACAUAAUGCUAGCUAUCCAAAAUACAUCAUGUCAUCUAUAAUCAUGCACACGAGGGUGCUCUAGUACAAUAGGAAAGCUCUACUAGCUAGCUAGGGCGCCACGCCCUUACCGCGAUCCUCCCCCGGAACGCUCGCACUCGGCCCUGCAACAAAGUGGGGUGAGAACUAUAUAAAUAUAGUUCCCAGUGGGUUCGGCCGCCGACUCCGCCGAUCUUCCCACUAGGUCUAAGCUGGCACAGAUAGAUAGAUAGACAGAAAUGAAACUGCAACUAUGCUAUACUAUGCCAUCAAAUGCAAGCAAUGCAUGGAAUAUCAUCUAGCAACAAGCCUACUAUCAUGCUAAUAUGCUUCAACAAUGUAAUGAAUACGAACACGACAUAGUUAUGCAAACCACCAACAUAUACUAUGUUUAAUCAUGGUAUGAAUGCAAAUCCACUUAUGCUAUUCAUGUCAUUACCCAAUCCCCUAGGCUACCUCGCCCAAGAUCUCAAAUCUCAUGGUACUCACACUACAAAUCUAGUAAGUGAAGAGGGGAAGAGCUACCCCGCUCUUCACCCCGACUGAUAUCUCAAAUCUCACAGGUGAGGAGCUACCCUGCUCUUAUAUCACCCGUCUCACAUCCCAAAGUCAUAGGUGAAGAGCUAUCCCGCUCUAAUCUCAUAAGUAAUGAGCUACCCCGCUCAAAUCUCAUAGGGGAAGGGCUACCCCGCCCUUCACCCCAACUCACUUUCCAGUCCAAUGAGUGAGGAGCUACCCCGCUCGUAUCCCACCCGAUGAGCUACCCCGCUCGUGAGCUACCCCGCUCGUGUGACAACUCCGGAGUGCACUACUCGUGUGGAGCGACCACCACAAGCCCAAAACAGACUAUGUGAGUAUGAUCCAAUCCUCGCCAAUUGAGGAUACGUUGUCAACUAGGUUAACAAACACUCGAAAAUCCACCUAUCCCUAGGCCCAUGUCAAGUGUCUCAACCACACUAAUCAACUCACACUAGGGAAUGUAACUAUCCCUAUGUUUGAUGCCAUAGUGUCUCAAUUACACUAAUUCUCAUAUAAUAUGCCACAACUAAGAAAACUCAUCUAUUCCUUAUGCUCAAUGCCAUAAGUGUUUCUAUUACACUAAGUUCCAAUGCCACUCGUCAUGUUAUUAAUCUUGUUUACAUGCCACUCGUCCAAGUUCCAAGUGUUUUCAUUACACUAGUUCACAAUCCAUUGGUUCUCAUUACCAAGUUCAAGUUCACCAUAUUUUUAUCACUAUAGGAUCUCAUGUCACCCGACCCAAUCCUCAUGCAUUCUAGUUUUAAGUGUCGAGCCCACAAUGCUCACUACUAGACAUGCAUGCAAGGAAGUAGAAAUGCAACAACACAUAUAUCCUAUAAUGCAUAAGAACAAUGCAUGAACAUGAUCAACAAUUCUAACUCGGACAUAGGAAGAAGCUCAGUCGGCCUUAUUUGCCGAUAUCUCUUCACCCGCUCGACGAAUCGCGAAUCCGACUUCGCCCUCGCGUUUAAACACCUAUCAAUUAGGUUUAAAUGCCAUCAAUUGAGAUCGAUUUCAUCGAUUUCCAAAAACCCCAAUUUGGAGCCCUAGGUUUGCACUAUAGCAAAACACCCCAUUAAAACUCUUGAUUCUAGCAUUAAGCAUCUAUUAAGCAUGCUAGAAUGCUAAUCAAACCACUUCUAGAGCAAGAAAUCCAAACCCUAGCAAGUUACCAUGAGAAGGGUUUAGAAGCUUACCUCUUAGCUUGCUCCAAUGGUGAGGAGAGGAAGAGGGAGAUGACCAAAGCCUCCUCUAGCUUGCUCCUCUUCUUCUCCUUCUUCUUCUCCUUCCUUCCUUCUCCUUCUUCUUCACUUCUAGAGAGAGGGAGAGAGAGCUUAGAGAGAGAGAGAGGAUGUGAAAAUAAGAGAGGGAGAGAGUGGUCUCCCAUGUAUACCCUCAACUAAUGCAACAAUUGCAUUAAAGCCCCUCCACUUUGUCUCUCUCACACUGCCCAGACUGGGCCAUUUUCGCGCUCAGGGACCGGUCUCUCCAGCUAGGGACCGGUCCCCGAGAGCACUACUCUUCAGGCAGCAGCCUGCAGCUGCCUCUCACGCACACGGGGACCGGUCCUCACCUGAGGGACCGGACGUUCAGGGACCGGUCUCUCCACGAGGGACCGGACCCCGAGAGCAAACUUUGUGCGCAGAGAUUUUCUGCCGCAUACUAGGCUUACGGGAACCGGUCCCUCCAACCAGGGACCGGUCCCCGAGAGCAAAAUCUGCAAAGUGGCAAAUUUCAUUCCUUUGCUCUCCGAGGCCCUCGCCAAUGCACUUUUUGGGUUUCUGACUUCUUCGGCUUUUCCGAAGCAUAUCCUCUCGACAAUUAGUCGAUUCUGAGCGAAGUCUAACUCUCGGAUUUCAAGAAUUCACUUCCUUACAAGGAUGAUAGUAGCCCACAUGGGUUGAGUGGUGGUAGGUGAAAUAGUAUUUGAUCCAAAGGCUACUAAUAGUCAAAGUGAUAGAUUUAAGGGCUAGAAACCAAAAAGCACCAACAGAUUGGUACUUUUAAAUGUAUUAUAGCUCAACUAUCUUUCUCUCCCCUCUCUCUCUCUCUAUAUAUAUCCUUGGAAUUUCCACAUCGACGUAAGAGCAAAAUCUCAAGUCCGCAUCUAACGUCAUUCUGUAUCUUGGAGGAUGAAGCGAAAAUUUAGCACAGAUCUUGCAGGGUAGACGGUGAAAAUUAUUGUCAACGCUAAUAGGCGCAGCCAUUGUUGCAGUUAAAUGAAAGAUGAGGGGAAGUACAGUUCAUCACUCUAAGAAAGGAGGAGUGAAGAAAAUUCUACGGAUCGGGAUAAGAAUUUGGAGUCGACUAAUAUUAAUCGACCUUUAGAGAACAAUCUAUAAAAAAUUAUUUUUUGAUUUUGAAUUUAAAUCUAUAACAAAUUGAAUCUAUCAAUCAUUUUCAUCAACUUUAUUUACUCAACAUGAACAACAAAAUAUCAACACUCGCAUAUAAAUCAUUAAAGCAUAUUACUGAAGAUUAAAUUAUCUAUCAAUGUAGAAAAUAAUAAACUGCUAGAAGUUCUAUGUUGUUCGAGAAGGAACAAUUCUUGUAAGACAGAACUAUUAACCUGGCCAACCCUAGUAAGAAGUAAACGUCCAGAUUUUGGAAAUGUAAGCAUCGAUUCUUGGGGAUAAGAUAAUAGCAUUCUUAUAUAGGAAAGCAAAAACAACACUCGCAUAUAAAUAUUUAAGGCAUAUUAUUGAAGAUUAAAUUAUCAAUCAAUCUUGAAAAUAAUUAUAAGGACUAAAAAUUUGACUAUGUAACUAAACUCUCUGUUGAUGAUGUUUUUGUGUGUAUUUUAAUUACAAAAGCACUCAUUAAGUUUCAGGAGAAAACGAGUUAGAAUGGAGAAGUUACGCGAUCUUUUCUAAUCACUUAAAGUGAAUAGUAACUCUGAUUUUUCGGAGAAGUCAAUCAGUGGAGAUGACUUCUGGUGCGUAUUGGACUCGGUUCAUAGUUAUCCAAUAGCUCGUUUUAGAUGGUUCAACUAUCCUGGACCCAAUGGCACUGACGGAUUUGGGUUCUGAUACAUGAUUUUCGAGAAAAAGCGAUUUUAUCGCAAAAAGAAGUUUUUGCAUAUUGGAGAGCGGAUGUGUUUUGUCAUGAAUCUGUGACCAAAACAGGCGAAAAAAAUCGUGGUUUUGAUGUCUCUGUCGUGCUGAUUGCGCCGGUGCGAUCCGUUCACAAAUCGGAAGGACGGAUCUCCUGAUAUCGCGCGUUGAUCGAGGAGAGGUCUUAGAUGGCAAAACGGUAAUUUUGCGAUAAGCCCUAUAUUUUAUGUACCGUUUUACGUGAAAUCGAACAUGAUGGUAUGUCUGCGCGAUUUACUCGUGCUAUGAGGGACUUGGCUGGAAAUAUCCUUGUUUAGUGGGUUAAAUCGGAAGUUGGCCACCCUAUAUAUAAGUUAACUAGGGUUUUCAUUAGAGAAUACCCUAGUCCCAGCUCAGCUAACCUGCAGCCGCCUCCAUCUCUUCCCCCUGCCUUAACCGCGCGCGCCACGGCUGCCUGCGCCCGCCGCCGGCCGCCGGAAUUGGCCGCUUCCUCCUCUUCGCCAUCAUCUACACCACCAAUCUCUACCAUCUUUGUCCAAGGAUAACCCAGGAGGAUCCACACCCUCGGGCCCCCCUCUGGCAGCGAGCCCGACCCUCGGCGAAUUUCCCUGACGUCCCCGCGCGCUGCUGCUGCCGCUUUGGCAGCUUGCGGCCAGGCUGGACGGGCUCGGGCCGAGAAGAGCUUCAGCUCCCUCCCCUUGUGCCGCCGCCAGAGGAGGCCUACACCCCUCCCCUGGCCAGUCCGAUCGUCGUUGUCGCUGGAGUUCGAAGGGGAGCUUGACCUGAACCCGUGCGGGCGUGGGUUACUCCUGCUCCACCGCUGCCACCUUCUGCCGCCGGCCAGUGAGAGCAUCGCCUCCCUCUAGUCGGUCGGACCCGACUUCCACCGGCACUUCUGCCGCCGGUGCCCCCGACCUGCCGGAGUUAAGCUAUGCUCCCUGUGUAUGCUUGCGGCUAGGGCAUCAAUGCCCGCCGCCUCCACCGUCUUCCAUCGUCGGCGGAUCUGCGCCCCAGCCUCCCUCCAUCGCCCGAACCCUCCUAACGCCGAUGCGCCCGCCGCUGGGCCAUCGCCAGCCGUGCCCUAGCUCCCCUUGGCCCGGUAAGCUUUAUUUAUGCUGUUUUGUGCAUUAUUUACGGUUCUAAUCGUAAUGCCGGCAACCCGGGGCUGUUUUGGUGCCUCCGGAGGUGAGCAUGGUGAUCGUCGGUCAGUGCUGAUCACAGUGCUCACCUUAUUUAGGGUCAACGAGCCCCAGAUAAGUGAAUUAGAAGCGUUUUAGGUUCAGCGCGCAGGGUUCGCUAAACUUCGGGUCGCUCCCGCGCAUCCCACAGCAGACGGUUGUGCUUCAAAUUGUGAGAACGGCCUCCGGCACGUCGAGACCUAUCAGUACGUGUCUCGGCCGAUCUCGAAAGUCCUCGAUUUGUGCUAUCGGACCGUAAAACCCCGAAAAUCACAUAAAAUAAUGUGAUUUUAGGUGAUCGCAGGGACUUUUAUGCGAUUGUGCACUUCGUGGCUGCUCGGGCAGUGCAUGUGGGAUGUAGGUGAUCUCUGGACUGAAUGUCCAAGGUCUGAUGCCCUCCGCGGAAAUCGGAGGUCAAUUUCGGUGCUUUUUUCGGCGAAAUUCGCCGGCGGAACACGGUUUCGGUUCGGAUUUCAUCCGACAGUGUGUGUUUGCCUUGAGUUGUGUCGCUGAGCCUUGUCGGCUAGUCACCAUCAUCAUAUCGUGAGUUCAGAGAUGACGGGUAAGCGGUGGUGGGUUCUAGUGUCAAAAUUGACACUUCCGGAAACCCGGAUCCAAACAAUUAUCCGAUGAUAAUUGUUUAGUUGUGUAUUUUUGUGUUUGCUGCUAAGAUGUCCAAAUCGAUGUGUUUUGUGGCAGCAGGUGACUCGUGGGUCAGUCGGUGAGUUUUGGGACACUUCGUGGGUCCCGGUGGAGUCCCGGUGCGAUUUUCAGGACUUCCAGCGAGUUACGGUAAUCGGUUUCGGGAAACCAAUUCCCGUGGGUUUAAAUUGUGAGUGUAGUAUUUUAUACGUGGGUUGGUUUCUAACCCGGUGGACCCUCUGUAGGUCCGUUUGACGAUCUUCCAUAGUCGGGAGACAGGCACGUUGUUCAUAUAGGUGGAUAUAUUGAUCCGAAGUCGGUAUAGUGGUGCACGCUCGGUGACGUUCUCUCCACCCUUUCUUUCUUACCUUGCAUAUUAUGUUAUGAGCCUAGCACCCUUUGAUGCCCUCCGGCACGUCAAGACCUGUCGGUACGUGUCUCGGUUGAUCUCGAAAGUCCUCGGUUUGCGCUAUAGGGCCGUAAAACUCCAAAAAUCACAUAAAAUAAUGUGAUUUUAGGUGAUCGCAGGGACUUUUAUGUAAUUAUGCACUUUGUGGCUGCUUUGGGCAGUACGUGUGGGAUGUAGGUGAUCUCUGGACUGAUUGUCCAAGGUCUGAUGCCCUCCGCAAAAAUCAGAGGUCGAUUUCGGUGCGUUUUUCGGCAAAAUUCGCCGGCGGAACGCGGUUUCAGUUCGGAUUUCAUUCGACGACGUGUGUUUGCCCUGAGUUGUGUCACUGAGCCUUGUCGGCUAGUCACCAUCAUCAUAUCGUGAGUUCAGAGAUGACGGGUGAGCGACGGUGGGUUCCGGUGUCGAAAUUGACACUUCCGGGAACCCGAAUCCGAACAAUUAUUCAGCGAUAAUUGUUUAGUUGUGUAUUUUUGUGUUUGCUACCAAGACAUCCAAAUCGAUGUGUUUUGUGGCAGCAGGUGACCCGUGGGCGAGUCGGUGAGUUUUGGAACACUUCGUGGAUCCCGGCGGAGUCCCGGUGCAAUUUUCGGGACUUCCGGCGAGUUACGAUAAUCGGUUUCAGGAAAUCGAUUCCCGUGGGUUUAAAUUGUGAGUUUAGUAUUUUAUAGGUGGGUUGGUUUCUAACUGGUGGACCCUCUGUGGGUCCGUUUGACGAUCUUCCACAAUCGGGAGACAGGCAUGUUGUUCAUACAAGUGGGUACUUCGAUCCGAAGUCGGUAUAGUGGUACGUGCACGCUUGGUGACGUUCUCUCCGCCCUCUCUUUCUUACCUUGCAUAUCAUGUUAUGAGCCUAGCACCCUCUGACUUCGUAGUUAUUGCUCUACUUGGUUACUUGUCGUGUUUAUUAUUAUGAUUUAGAAGUAGAGUGGACUAUUUGUGGUGACCUAUCCGGUCGGUUCUGUGACUCCUGUCGUUGAUGAUCUAUGAGGUCGGUAUACCCUGAGGGGUAGGAUUGUCGGCUAGUUGCCGACGGGUGAUUAUAGAUUACAUUGAUCCAUGAUUUGACAUUCUUGUGAUCUAGUCGGUCAGUUUCUUGUAUCUCGUAUUGUGACCUAUUCGGUUGGUUUGUUGCAUUUGUUAUUGUGACCUAUUUGGUCGGUUGGACUACUUGAUGAUCUAUGAGGUCGGUGUACCCUGAGGGGUAGGAUUACGGCUAGUGGCUGACGGCUAGUUCUGGAUUAUAUCGAUGAAUGACGUGACAUUCUUUUGACCUAUUGGCCGAUUUUUGUGCAUAUAUGUUAGUUGACAUUGAGUGGUCGAUACUUGCAUACUUUCGAAAGGAUGUUGAGUUGUUCUAUCCUAGUUGACCUGAGUGGUCGGUACUUGUGCUCCUUAUGGUUCAAUGACCUAUUGGUCGGUGUGCCCCGAGGGACGGUGAUUGUCGGCUAGUUGCCGACGGUUGGCUAUUGAGUAUAUCAACAUCGAUCGCCACAUACUCGUUCGUAUUUCAUGAACACCAGCGGUCUGAUCCACCGCGGCUAGGUGUUCUUUUUCGAAAAAAUGGUUGGAUGCACCAGCCUGUGAGCCCAACGGUCAGAACUGUAGCCAUAUGCAGCCCGUGAGCCCAGCUGUCAGAACUGGGUUUUUUACAAGUAGAGUGGCAGUGGCAUAGGCUUGAGGUCUACGGAUCGUCAUGCCAGGUUUCUGAUUGAGUAUUUUUGGAACUGAUCGUCCGGUUGAUGCAUACUCGUAUUUUGUUCUGUAUUACAGCAGCAGCUAGUUAUAUUCCUAUAUACUGUUGUUUACCCAUGCAUCAUUGUUACUGUAGUCAUGAUAUCCAUAUAUGCAUUCUGUUCUAUUUUACAGUAGCGGUAGUUACAUGUUCUAUCACUGUUUCCUUUUUCUUCAGGCAUUAUAGCUACUGUAUCUGUGAUAUCUACUUAUGACUUUGAUGAUCUCUUUUUACCGGUGAGUAUUCCUCGCCUUCGUCCGCUUGCGGUACCCACUGGGAGGGGAGGCAUGUGUACAUGUUCUCAUCCCCCCACCCCCAUUUUAGGUGACAUCACGGGUCCAAGUGAGGACGGUUCGUGAGGUGCACGCUUAGCGAUCGAUAGAGCUACCGACCCAUUAUUGUGGUUUAAUUCUUAUCUUGACUCUCGUAAAAUAAUUGACUUAGUAUUUAUAGUUUAGUUGGUUUCAUGUAAAUUGGAUAAGUAUGAUUUGGUAAAUGUAAUAAAGAAUUGAUGAUUUUCAUGAGAUGAAAAUGGUUUUUUACUCCUCGAGGUAGCGUAUUUAAAAAAAAAAGGUUUCCAUGUGGGAAACGGUUUUAAAAAGGGUUUACUGGUUUUUGUAAAUCUUAGUAUUUCAAAAUAAGUUUCCGAGUGGGAAACGUUUUAAACUAAUAGAUGUGGAUUUAUGAAUAUCUAUGAUGAAAUGAAUAGUGAAUGUGAAUGGUGUUUGUAUGUGGAUGUUCAUACUUGUGGUUGUAUUUUGUACUUGUGCGACGCCGUGCAAAUACAGGAGAGACUUUGUCCGUGUGAACAGUAGAUACCCUGUAUUUGUGGCGGAUCUGACAUCCUCUAGGGUCAAGGUUUCAAAAAAAAAAAAAAUUGGGCACUUCCACAUUGGCUUUAAAUCCAAAAGGGACCUCGAGGCAUGACAAUAAUAAACUAUUAGAAAUUCUAUGUUGUUCGAAAAGGAACAAUUCAUGUAAGAGAGAACUAUUAACCUGGCCAACCCUAGCAAGAAGUAAACGUCCAGAUUUUUGAAAAUGUGAGCGUCGAUUCUUGGGGAUAAGAUAAUAGCAUUCUUAUAUAAGAAAGUAAAAAAUCGAUAUAGUAGGCAAGAUUAAUCUACAGGGGAAUACCUAAAUUUCUUGUUGUUCAGAUUUUGGGAUAAAAGUAUCAGAUGAUGGUUUUGAUCUAAGGAAUGAAUGGAUUAUAAAAGCAAAACUAUAGUAGUGAGAAGUAAUGUAACAGAAAGGAGAGUAGAGGAAUUGGCCAGGGUAGAGGAAUCGGCGACCGAUAGAUUUGAUGAGAUACGAUCCCAUCUGAAACGGCGAUAGAUUUGAUGAGACACAAUCACAUUUGAAACAAAAAUAGGGGAGGGAUACUGCGAUGGAGAGAGGAAAGAAAAUGACCUAUCGUACGAAAUGAAGAGAGAAAGAGAACGACACAGUCGAGAUAGGAGAAGGAACGCUGCAACGAACAGGAAAAAAAGGAAUGACGCGAGGAGGGGGAGCGGAGAGGAAACACUCUCUUCCGUAUAAAAAAUCGGAAUAGAGAGUGUAGCGGUUCGAUUUGAUUUAGAGGUUUAGAUAGUGAGCAGUUCGAUUCGGUUCAGAGGUUCAGAGUUAGGCUGUUCAUUGAUUUGGUUUAAAUGUUUAGAGACGCAAUCAGCAGUUUGGUUCAAGUGCUAGAAGAGCGGUCCGAUUUAGAAUUCAUUCGGUUCGGUUUUCGUACAAAAAAUCGGAAGAGAGAGAGAGUGGUUCGGUUCAAGUGCUAGAAGAGCGGUCCGAUUUAGAAUUCAUUCGGUUCGGUUUUCGUACAAAAAAUCGGAAGAGAGAGAGAGUGGUUCGGUUCAAGUGCUAGAAGAGCGGUCCGAUUUAGAAUUCAUUCGGUUCGGUUUUCGUACAAAAAAUCGGAAGAGAGAGAGAGUGGUUCGGUUCAAGUGCUAGAAGAGCGGUCCUAUUUAGAAUUCAUUCGGUUUAGAAAAGUGGUUUGAUUUUAAGAAGAGAAAAGUAAGAGAAGAGAGAGAAGUGGUUCUAAGUGGUUCGGUUCAAAAGAAAUAGUUUGGUUCAAACUGGAGGUAUAAGGAUAAAGGGUAACUUGCCACGUGGCAAAAAAUAUUGAGGCUUCACUAGGCAAAUGAAGUAAAAAAAUUAUAAAAUUUAGUUUUUAGAUAGUUCCAAUAGCGUAGAUCAUGUCUAAUGGAACCGAUUGCCAAAUCGGAUAUCCCAUCAUCGAAAAUAACUUACAAGUAUGGAGGCCUCCGUACUUUCGAAAGUAUAGGAGCCUAGCUUUCUCUUUCUCUCUCACUCUCUCUCUUUUUCUCUCUCUAUAUAUGUAUAUACUAGUGUAGUAGCCCGUGCAAUGCGACGAGUAGAUAAUUGAAAAAAAAAUGGUGACAAAGGAAGAGAAAACGACAAUGGAAAAAAUGACGAUGAGAGAUGGGAUUCAUCUUAUCAAUGAAGGAAGGUAACAGUAGAAGAAAGAGAAAGAGAAACAGUCACGCUCACUGCAGAGAUGUGAUUUGGUUCUGUUCAAGCAAAAAAAGGGAAAUCUGGUUCAGUUCAAGCAAAAAAAAGGAAAACUUGAACCGGUUCCAGGUGGAGUCCACACUCGAUAGUGAUCGGUUUGGUUCAAGCAAAGAAAGAGAAAAAUUCGGAACAAAGAUGAAAACAUGUGGAGUAGUUGGGCCAGUUUUGCCCAAUGCAAUAGGUUGAGUCGAUUUGGUUCAAGUAAAAAAAGAGAAAACCGAAUUCGAUUCAAGCAAAGAAAGCGGAAAAUAUGUGGAAGACUUAAGCCGCUUUGGAGGAUCCCACACUCAACAACGAUUGGUUCGGUUCAAGCAAAGAAAAAGAAAAAUUCGAUCCAGUUCAAGCAAAAGAAGAGAAAAAUAUGUGGAGAACUUAAGCUGGUUCAAGGUGGAGCCCACCCUCAACAAAUGAAGGGAGUGUUGCCAUGCAACAUACCAGAUUUUGGUAUAAAAAUAAAAAUAAAUAAAAAUAGUGUGAGAAACUAUUUUUAUUGAAUUUAGAGAAGUAAAACAUAAGUCAGAAGUGACUUGUGCUGAAAUCGGAAUGAAAACAGAGGAUUUAAAAUUUUCUGUUGGAAACGAGACAGAUAAAUUAGCAGAAAAUGCAUAGUCUCAGAAAAUUAUGAAAACUGGAGGAUAGGCUAGAAUUAUUUUUAUAAGGCUAGAUUUAAAGUUUCGUGUCAUUCUGACACCCGGAAAGUGAAAAAUAAAAUCCGACAGCUAUCUGAUAAAGAUUAUAGUUUGGUACAGUUUUCGGUGACCAAACGGGGUCGAAACUGAAAACUUAAGAUAUAUUCUUACUCAGUACGUUAAACCGAGCCUGCCUGUCAAAUUUGAGCGCAAAGGGACGUUCAGAAGGGCUCCGACUAUUCCGAACUGCUAAACUGCAAGUUGUAAUAGGUGAGAGGGGGGGUUUUGUGCAAUUGUUACAGCCCCUACUUGUGGCUGGCUGCAUGCGUACACACACACCCGCACACACACUUCUUCUCCCCCACCCUCACACUUGCAACCAAGAAGGAUCCCUUUCUCUCUCUAGAUCUCUCCCAAAAUUGAAGGUUUUGGUGGAGAAGCAAGCUUGGAAGUUGAUCUUCAUCUUCUUCGUCUUCUUCCUCUCCAUUGGAGCUAGCUUGAGAGGUAAGCCUUGAUACCCAUUAAUGGUAGAAUUGUAGGGCUUCAAUUAUAUGCUCUAAGAAUAGAUUUAGUGGAACUCCUAGAUGCUAAAUAGAGAAUUGAUGCUUGAAUCAUGAAGCUAUAUGAUGAUUUCUUGCAUAGUUGCAACCUAGGACUCCAAAAUGUAAUUUUUGCUAACAGAUGGGUUUGAUCUAUUUUGACCCUAUGUAAACCUAAUUGCUAGGUAAACGAACGCGUUGGCGAAGUCGGUUCGGCGAUCCGUCGAGCCGUUGUAAAGUUAUUAAAGAAACAGACGUUUAGGCUUCGUUUCCGCCUGGAGGGCCGAGGCGACUUCGUAACGUCAUGAAAACGGAUUUGGAGCACCGUGGCACAUAACCGAAGACCUAUAAUUUUCGGUGCCGCGAUUCGAAGCACGGUUGGUGAGUAUUAGCAAAAUCGGGCCGAACCGGGUUACGGGUGCCGCGGGAGGCCGAUUGCAAGUAUCGACAAGCAAUCGGAAAGCGAUUUGAGGUGGGUUGUGUUUACCGAAGUGACUAGGUCGCCUGUAUGUCUAAGAUAAAUGUUUAUCAUUGAUGCAUAGUUGUAUUAGUAUGUUUACAUGAUAAUAUGAAUGUUUGAAAUAUAUUAUGUAGUUUAUAUUACCUACCAAUGAGAUGAAAUGCAUAAUGAAAUAAAUGCUAAAGAGAAUGCAUGGUAUGAUAAGCAUGAUAUAGAAAUAAUAAAUGCAAGCAUAUGGUUAAUGCUAAGAAUAUAGAUGAUGACAUGAUAAAAAUGGUAAGUCCAUGUAUAAUAAGCAUCUUUUAGGGAUGCUAAAAUAAGAAUGCUAAGUAAAUGACAUAUCAUGUGAUGCUAGUGGUAUACGUGCAUGAUGGCAUAUUGCAUGUGAUAGAUGAACUAUGCAUGUUGACAUAUAGAGGAUUAUAUUAAUUGACAUUUACAUGUUAAACUUGGGGUUGAUAACUUUAGGUUGGUUAGAGAGUGGCAUUAAACCUAGUGUUUUGAACAUAGGUUAAACAAGUGUAGUGUGAAUCUAGUGUCAUGAACCUAGCAAACACUUAUGGCAUUUGAGCAUAUAUAUUUGGUACCAUUCAUACAUGAUAGGGCUAAGUACAUGUGAACCUUAGUUGCUUUCAAUGACAUGUUUCUAACGUAGUUGAACAUAGAGAAAGAUAGAACUAUAAUGGACAUGUAUGUUAGGACCCUAUUAUAGUGUGAAUGUGAGAGUUGGACUUGGACAUUAGUAAACAAAGGCGACAUUGACAAUAGAGACAUUGUUUGGGCAUAGAGGAUAUAGUUGUUGAACAUAGUUUAACCAAGAGUGGCAUUGGACCAAGUUGAUAUAGAGAGUGGCAUGAUUAAAUAGGUAGAAACCUAUUAUGACAAUGGCAUUGUGACAAGUGGCUAUGAAUCCUCAAGUUGAGGAUUGGAUCAUACUCACAUAGUCUGUUUUUAGCUUGGCGUGGUCGCUCCACCCAAGCAAUGCACUCCAGAGUUGUCACACGAUGGGCUAACGUACUUGCCCUUGGACUAACGUACUUGUCCAGCAGACGGUCCCCAGGGAAGUUCGAGUCCCCCGUUAUUAAGGGAUUUGGUUGUGAGUUAUUGGGGUUAAUAUGGUUAACCGGUAAGAUUGGGUUAAAGCUAAGUGAAUAUACAGCAUUAUGUGUUACGGGUUUGGUAUCCCAGUUGAGAGGAUCUAGGGCUGAGGUGUAUGCGAGACAUCCAUCACCCCGAGCCUGGUAUUGGUGCGGUAUUCCGCAGUUGAUUGACUCGAGACCGAGUCGGGUGGUUAGCUUGGUUAGGGUAGAGGAAAACCUUAAGAGCAAAUAACCAAUGAUGUAAAGUGACAUGAUGUAUAAAUUAUGAAAAAGCUAUGGAUAGCAUGAUACAAAGUAAAAUCAUUUAUUCUACUUGUAUAGUUGCAUGGUUUCAUAUUGCAUAUCGCGAGGCAUGACAUGUAGUUCAAUAUUGAAUAAAUGUUUAAAUAUCUGUUAUAUGUUAUUGGACUAACCUAUUGCAGUGUCUCAUUAGACAUAUUGGUUGAGCUUUUCCCUUGGGUGGCCGUACCCACUGGGAACCAUGGAGUUGGUUCUCACCCCACGUUGUUUUGGGGUGUUACAGGUUCACACGUGAGCGGCGCGGCGGCGCGAGGCGAGGGCGUAGAUCCGUAGUUAGCGCCCUACCACCGAGACCAGAGAUAGCGGUACUCUGAGUCGGCUACUUAGGGAUGUAAGAAAAUGAAUGGAAUAAGAUUGCAAUAAUUUGUAAUAAAAGCAUGAUUGUAUUUGGAAGUUAAAUGUAAUAUGAAAUUAUGAUGUAAAAUGUAUAUAGUGAAUGUGAAUGCUUGUAAUAACAAGUAGAUUAUGUUUUUGAUACUUCCUUAUGCAAUCUUUGAUUGAAAUGUGUUCCUGGUUGGAACUUUGUACAUUGUGUUGAUUGCGAUGCCUUGGGCGUACAGGGGAGACUCUAUCCGCGAUACAGGAAAAACCCUGUCCGUUCGGCGGUCUGUCGACGUGCCCGAAACCGACCAAAUAGGCGGGCUCGGGGCGUGACAUGCCAUGUGGCAAUUUAGGAGGAAUAAUGUAUAGGAAUAGAUAGAUAUAUAGAGAGAGAGAGAGAGAGAGAGAGAGAGUAGAGCUACUAUAUUUUCGAAAGUAUAAGAGAGUUGGUGCUUCCGACUUUUUUUAUCCUUGGAUCAAGGAUUAUAGGAUCAGGAUGAUAGUGGUCCCCUUUAGGGUAGUGUGGUCUCUCUAGGGUAAUAAUAUUAAUCCAAAGGUUAAAAAUGGUCAAAAGGGGUUGAUUUAGGGGUUAAAAAGUUGGAAGCACUAGUUCCCUUAUGCUUCAAAAAGCAUAGUAGCUCUCUCUCUCUCUCUCUCUCUUCUCUCUCUCUCUCUCUCUAUAUAUAGAGAGAGAGAGAGAGUUGGGCUAGAAUACUAUUAAUAGUAUUUGCCCCCCUUUUGCUAUCAAGUUUUUAGCCUUCGGAUCAAUUCAUUUGAUCAUUUCUAACCAUUGGAUUAAAUAUUAUAACCCAAUGGGGACCACUCAAUCUUAAGGGACUAAUAAAACUCUAAGGGACUAAUAUCAUCCUAACCCUACAAUCUUUCAUCCAAAGGUUAAAAACUUGAUAGCAAAAAUGGCCAAAUACUAUUAAUAGUUUUCUAGCCCAACUCUCUCUCUCUCUCUCUCUAUAUAGAGAGAGAGAGAGAGAGAGAAUGUAUUCUAUACUUUCGAAAGUAUGGAGGCUUCCAUGCUUGUAAGUUGUUUUCGAUAAUAGGAUAUCCGAUUCGACGAUUGGCUCUGUUAGGUAUGAUGUACGCUAUUGAAACUAUCUAGAAAAUAAUUUUCCUAAGGGACCACUAUCAUCCUAACGGCACAUCUUUUCAUUCAACGGCCGAAAACUUGAUAGUACCAAACACUUGGUACUCUAUCGAUUAGGGGUAAAAACGGAUCGGAUAUGGUUGAAUAUUUGAUGAAAGCAUAUUCGCGUCCAUAUUUUUUUUUUCGAAUACGAAUUUGGAUACAGAUAUAUAUCGGAUGCUAAAAUUUUAUUAUCACAUCCGUUAAAAAAGGAUUUGGAUAUGGUCGGAUAUUUUUUUGGAUUCGAAUAUGGUUCGGAUAUGUAUAAUAUAUAUGCACAUACACAAAAAAAUUAUUUUAUUUUCCCAUCUUGUUUCCUAACUAUAUUUCUUCAUACAUAAAAUAUAUAAUUUUAAUAUAUAACUCAUUAUAAAAUAAACGAAUAAUACGAAAAAAAUCAUCGUAUUUUUUCACAUGUGUUAAUCAUCCUUUAUUAACAAUGAAUUAGAUGAAAGGAAUUUGGGCGGGCUAGGCGGGGAAAAUUGGACCGCACGAAUCCAAGAAUCCAAAAAUAUAAAAUAUAUAAAAAUAAUAAUACUAAAAGUCCGGAUAUCCACAUCCAUAUCCCUUUUUUUCGGAUAUUCGAAAAAAUUCAACUCUCUAAAACCUUAUCCAUAUCCCUAUCCGACCGGAUCCGAAUAUUAUUGAAUACGGAUAUAGAUAUUUUCGGAUAAUAUCUGAUCCAUUUUCACUCCGACUAUGGAUAGUAUAUAUAUAUAUAUAUAUAUAUAUAUAUAUAGGGUGCUAUUAGGAGCACGAAGGCCUCUGUGCUUUUAAGCCAUUUUCGAUGAUAAAGCUUACGAUUCGACGAUCGGCCUUUUUAGACUUAAUCUAACGUAUUUGAAGUAUCUAGAAAAUAAUUUUUUUCGAUAUCAUUUACCUCGCAAUCGAAAGGGUUCAAAAUCAAUGGUUGAAAAUAAAAAUCUCACAAAAAGUGGUAAUAUAACACUAAAAUUUUUCGAUCAGAGAUAUUGAUCUUGCAAACGAUAUACAUCAAAAUUUUAAUAGUAUAAAAAUUUUAUAUCAAAAUUUUAUUUGAUUUGAAUACUUCUACACCGUUAAACUUGCAAACGAUAUACAUCAACUAUUAAAAAUUAUUGAUUUUAAACCCUUUCGAUCGCUAGGUAAAUGAUAUCGAAAAAUCGCAAAAUUUAUUUUCUAAAUACUUCAAAUACGAUAGAUCAAGUCUAAUGGAGCCGAUCGUCGAUUUGGAAGCUCCUUUGUUGAAAACGACUUAGGAGCACGGAAGCCUCUGUACUCCUAAUAACACGCAAGACCUCUCUCUCUCACACACACACACACACUCACUCUCUCUCUCUCUCUAUAUAUAUGGAAAAACUUCAAAAACUGCCCAUGUGGUUUCAUAGUUUCUCACUUUGCCCCCCUGUGGUUUAAAAUGUAUCAAUUUGCCUCCCUGUGGUUUCGUUUUUUUCUUUUUCUUAUCAAUUUUCUUAUUUUUUUUUCUUAAAUUAGUGAUAAAGUUAAAAUUGAAGGGUACUAGAGUGAAUAUUUGAUAAAUCUAGAUGGGUAUCUGAAGUUUUUUGUAUAUAAUUUAAUGAAAUAUUAACGAAAAAGCUACCCAAAAGAUAAAAACAAAACCACAGGGGGGGCAAUUUGAUACAUUUUAAACCACAUGAGGGUAAAGUGAGAAACUACGAAACCACAAGGGGCUUUUUGAAGUUUUCCCUAUAUAUAUAUAUGAUAAAGAAGAUAUCGUCUUUAACUAAUACUAUCAAAAUUGAUAGGUUAUGAACAAUUUAUUCAAUUUAUAUAAUAUGAUUAAUUAUAUUGCAUUAUUUAUAGAUAAUUUUAUCUGCAAAUUUAUUUUUAUGAUGUUUUAUAGCUGGAUUCAACUGUUGUUCAAAAUAGUUGGACCUAUUUGGGAUAAUAAUAAAGUGUAGGGGGUACUUUUAAUGCAGAGAAUAACUAAGACCAUUAAUCGCUACCGUGUAAAGAGAUUUUUUUAUGAUUUAGCCCAAGCGUUACAGUAUCACGGUAGUAUGCAGACUAUAUCUGCAAUUUAACCAAAAUCAAAAUGAAAAAUUCUUUUUACAUUCCAAAGGGACGUCGAUAUUGCACUUAUUGGUUUUAGGGUUCAUAAAAAUUUAAAUAAUUUUUAAUAAAAAUAAAAGAAAAUUGCACGCUGGCACUUUGAGGGCCGGUAGGCCUCUCUUUACCGGCCUCUCUCUUUUUAUAUAUUUAUUUUUUAUUUCUAUUACAUUAAAGGAGGAUUGGGGGAACCUUAGGUUGACACCUGCCCCCAACCCUCCACUUCUCUCUCUCUCUCUCACACACACACACACACACACACACACACAUCUAUAAACAUAUAUGAAUCCUUAAUAUUUUUGCCACGUGGCAAUUGUUCCUUCACCCUCACUAGCCUCUCUUUUCAACCGUUCCUCUUCUUUGAUUCGAACCAAACUGUUCUUUGAACCGCUCAUUCCUGUUCUCUGAUCCGAUCCACCUCCCAACAUCUGAACCAAACUGCUUUUGAACCAACCUAUCGCUUUUGAACUGAACCAUCUUUCUAAGCCGUCCUCCUAACAUCUGAACCGAACCGCUUCCUAUCUAUGAACCACCAAAUCACACCGACCGCCUCUCUUUCUCUCUCCUAUUCAGUUAUUGCACGACGGAGCGUUUCCGCUCCCCUCUCCUCCGCGUCGUUCCUUCUUCCUCCUUUAUUGCAGCGUUUUCUCUUCCCUCUCUGUGGUAUCGCCGUUUCGAUUGAUGGAUCAUUCCCUUUCCACUCUUCGCAUCUAAGGUUUUUCUUUGUGUCAAUCUUUUCGGAUUUGUGUGCGGAUAGAGGGAGUAAGAUUGGGAACACUAACCCUAAUUUUUCUUUUAUUUUUUUAAUCCUGAAUUAUUGUUAUGUAUCCAUCUAGGAUUUGAUCUAUUUGCAUUAUUUGGAUUAAUUUUGAGAUUAAUUUGAUUUCACGUGGUUGUUCUGGUCGUGGUUGCGGAGUUUUUAUUUCUUUUACUUUUCUUUUUCUUUUGUGUGGAUUUACUAAAUUUGAUUUUAGGGGGUCGUGGAGAUGUUUGAGAGAGGGUUGCAUAGACACAGAUUCGCCUUUGUAGAGGGCUCACCAUAGACGGAUGCUCCUGCGAUGUGAGCCCAUAUCAGCGUCCUCUUUUGCCAGAGUCCUAAAUUUCCCUACCGAGGCCUCUCCAAACGCAAAGGUUUGGAUUCCGAGGGUGUAAGAUUUACAUUCUAUAAAAGUUGUGCAUAUAGCAUUUUCCUUAAAAUCAUAGGUCAUUUGAUUUUGUAUUGUUGGUUAUAUUGAAACGCCAUGAAUUGUUUGGUAAUUUACUAUCAUAUGAUUUUAAGCUAAGCAUUUUUGUCACUAAUGAUUACACUAACAAUAUUUUAUAAAGAUUUAUUAUUAUAAUGUCUUUGAACUAUAGUUGAAUGUCCUAAUAAAAGUUUGUGAAUGUAGAGAAAUUUUGAGAAUGUNCUCUAUAUAUAUAUAUAUAUAUAUAUAAGGCGAGAGCUUUCCCGCCUAUCCCAUAGCCACUUGCAUCGUUCCCAUUUCCACACUGAGCGCGCGCGCGAGAGAGGGAGAGAAUCUAGAGAGAGAGAGAGAGAGAGAGAGAGAGAGAGAGAUUGAGCUCGGCUGCAGUUCAUGGCAAGAAACGGGGGAGAUGAGAGGAGGCGAGAGGAGGCCUCGACGAGCGCGAGCACCGUCCUGCACGAGCGGGUGCCGGCGCCGGCGUCGGUGGAGGGAUUGGGGCCGACGGUGGUCGACUUCAUGAAUAAGCGCAGUAUGCUGGCCGAGGACGGCGACACGGAGGCUCUCGCCACCCUGGAGCGCAACUUCGUCACGGCCGCCGAUCCUGACACCCUCCUCGCCCUCAUCAGGGUAACAGAUCAUUCCAUCAAACCCCUCUUCGCUUCAUUUAGGGUUUCAAUUCAAUCUGUCGUUUCGAACCCGCUCGUUCUUUUAUAUGCUUAAAUCUUUGGAAAUGAACUGGUAAACCAAGAUUUGUUAAUGUUUAAAGUGUCCGACGUGUAUUGAAUUGAUUUAGGGUAAUCUUUGGUACAAAUAACUACCGAUCCAUCCUUCUCGUUUCGAUCUGAUCUUUUCUUGUAUCCUCUCAAUUGGCUCUUUUAUGCUCAGAUCUUUGGUAUGAAUAACUCUAAUUGUCCUGAUCAUGGUGAAUUAGCAAAAUAUUUCGGAUGGAACUACCGACUUGCACUAAUUUAGGGCCAAGUGCAAAAGAGUAUUACAUUCUUCGGCAUUUUCUUUUUUCCUUUUUAUCUUUCUCUUUCUUCUGAUGGAAAUUCAUUAUUUGUAAGUUUUAGCCAUUCUUAUUCCGGUGAAUCAAUCGAACACCAUUUUGGCUUUCAGGGUUUCAACAGCCAUCUUGCUUUGAUCUGAUCUUUUCUUUUAUCUAUGGUUCUAUAAUGCUCGAAUCUUUGGUAUGAUUUAGUAAAAGAUUUUUUGUAUGAUUUAGUAAAAGAUUAGGGUUGAAGUUCAAUUUGUUUUGAUCUGCUCUUUUCUUGUUCCAAUCGGCUCUGAUCUUUACUACGAAAGAAAAUUAUCCUGUCCAUUUGUUACCCCCAAUCUGGAAACCAGAGUAGAGAGAUCUAUAAUCGAGCUCUGGUACCCUCACCCACGAGAAAUAGAGAAGAGGGCGAAGGUGGAAGAAGAGUGUAGAGAGUUGUAAGGAGAAGAAGAAGUUCUAUUAAAUUUCCAAUCUGAUCUCGAUGACAGCGUUGUCACUAUUUUCAGCUAGGUUGAAUGGCACAAGUGUAACUAGAAUGAAAAGCAAGUAGUGCGGAGACAUUAGUUAGGUAAGGCACUUGAAAAGAAUGCAGGGUCAAGCUGGAUCAGCGGCUCGUAUUUAAACCGUGCUUGGCCGUUGGGACAUGCACAGCAAAACAGAGAGCGAAACAGAGUAGAGGCAUAGAAAGAAGAUCUUCAAACAAACCAUCGAGUAAUCAGCAAUGGCGGUUUUGCUAAUUGAAGCGUGUAUCGCCUUUUAAAAAAAAAAAAAAAAAGGAUAAAAAUGAAUAUUAGCCCAUUGUUCUUCAGCAAGCUCUCCUUCCUUUUUCUUCUGGUUUCUAAUUGAGAUUGCUAUCUUUCUCGUUCUUUAUGCGCAAAUUUUUGUAAGAGGUUUCGGGUUCAAGUCACUUUUAUGCUCAACUCUUUGGUAUGAAUCCCCCUCAUUGUCCUAAUCAUGGUGAAUUAAUAAAAGAUUUAGGGUUUAAAUGACGAACUGCUGUUUUCUUGUUCCAAUUGAUUCUGCUUUCAGAGUAAAAUAAUAUUAGCUGCUAGUCUUCAGCAAUUUUUCUUUUACCUUCUUUUUUUCUCAUGAAAUUUUUCUUACUUAGUUAUCUUUCGGAUUUAGGUGAAUUGCACUGCACCUCUAGUCCCCAAACUUUCUGCCAAGUUUCAUUUUGGUCCUCGAACUUUUAAUUUCAAUUUUAAUGAUCCGUAAACUCUUAAGAGAUUUUCACUUUAAUGCCUAUAUAUAUAUUUACUAUUAGAGGAUAAACUAUUGCUUAUGCCUCAUGCAUCUAGACAUGUAUGUAUUGUGCAUUUAUCGAUGAUUUUUUUCAUCACAUAUUUCAACUCUGCUACUCAUUGAAUUACAGAUUAUUCUAAUAUAAGAUUUAGAGUUCUGAAUUGAAUGUUUGAGAUGGGUGAUCAAAUGGUGAAUUCAUUGUCUAUGAAGGAACUAGAUGCAAGCAAUAAUUGUUAUUCUAAAAUAAGGACCAAGUUGAAACACUUUUGAAAGUUUAGGGACUAAAGUGAAACCUUAUUAAAAGUUCAAGAUCUUGAACGUCGAAAUCAAAAGUUUAAGGACCAAAAUCAAACUUGACUCAAAGUUUGGUGACUAGUAGUGCAAUUUACCAUUUCACGUUCUUUAUGUGCAAAUGUUUGGUAUAAACAUAUUGUCCUUAACAUGGUAAAAUAGUAAAAGGUUUAGGGUACUUAAGUGAAAUCCUUCUUUGAUCUUCACUUUAACAGUCCUGUUUUUGCUGAUUGAAGUUGUUGUUAGUUACUGAGAUUUUUAUUUUUUCUCAGUGCAAAUAUUUUAUAUGAAAGCCCCACAUCAGCCUAAUCAUGGUGAAUUAAUGAAAGACAACUUUUAAUUAGUGUUUAUGUCCAUCUUGUUUCGACCUUCUUUUUCUCGUCUUAUGUAAUUUUUGUUUUUCACUGCUACUAAUUCCAAUUGGUUCUAAUCUUUAGCACAAAUGAAUAUUAGCGUGCUAUUCUUUAGAUACAUUCUUUCUUUUUACCUUUUCUGAUGGAAGGUAUUAUUAGUUAUUUAUCUUUCCUAUUCUUUUCUGUGCUAUCUUGGGUUUGAAUAUCGUGGAAUGUGAAUCCAUGGCAGUUGAAUCUUUUUGGUUUAUAUGAUCCUUCAAUACAGAAAGCUUUCGAGUUAGAAAUGUCUUGCUGAAAGCUACCCCCUGAUGUAUGAGAUGAUUGUGGUAUAAAUCCGUUUAUUCGAGUUGGUGGUUCUUUGUGUUUAUUUAGCUUGUCAAACAGUUCUAGCAGUUAGAGGAACAACAAUUAAUCAACACAUACCACUAGUCUUAGCAAAUUUUUUCCUGAAUUCUAGGAUCCGUAUUUUCCAGCUAUUCUGUCUCACAAAGUCUAUUGCUAUAGACAUGUUUUGUUUUUCCAGAAUGGUCUAAUCUUGAAUCACAAAGGAGAAGUGUUCGUUGAUGUUUUGAUUAGUCUGAUUUCUAUUCUAGAUUUUGCUUUUGCCUCGGUGUGUGUUUUGUUGCUGAAUUUGUGUAGAUCCUAAUUUUACUAACAAUUAUGGAGGCUUUAUAUGCAAGAUUUAUCUGUACUAAAACUCAUUUCCCAAUUUAUCUAUGUCUUUUAUAUCAAUUCCCUUCUGCUACUAGUAAAUUUGUGUUGCUGCAUUCUUUACAAAUAAGCCGUUCCUCUAUUUUCUUUCUGUUCAUUCUUCUGUUCUUAGAACAAUUUAUUUUACUUGUUGAGUUAAAAGUAGUUCAUACAUAGAAUUGCAAUCCUAAAGCGUCAUCAAAGUGGAAUAAUUUUCAUAACCUUUCUUGCAUCUGACUCAAUAGGCUGCGAACUUAUUUGGGACUGGGAACCUCAUGGACGUCAUCGCCCAGAGGUUGAUCAAUCUGAUGAAGGAGAAGAAGGAUGACGAGAUCCGGCAGAUGUUCCAUAUCGAGAAUGACUUGAUUCUCGGUGAGAAGAGUCUGCUUCAGCUUGCUCACGUACCAGAGAUGGAAACAUACAGGGCGGACUUGCAUGAUCCAUGAUAGGCUUAGUGCACUGAUGAGCUCCUUCAAGGGUUCCGAUGUGAAUUAGCUCCACUGUUCUUUUUCAUAUGUAGCGAGAGCUAAUGUGGUUGGCAGAAGAUAGAUAUAGCAUAGUACACAGAGAACGAUAGACAUGGAAAACAAUUUAUUUUUCCACCCCUUCAGGCUUUCUUUCUCCUCUUUUUAGCUCUCUUGGUCUGUUCCCUGGACUGAAUAACUGGACAUCAGUUGACCGCCUUGUACUUAGUACUGAAAAUGAAUUUCAGAGCGUUAGUGAGAAUGCAGAUGCUGUAAAUCUUCGACAUAAUCUUCAAUUUUCAUAGUUUUCUCAAGUAAAAUAGAUUUAGAGUUUGUUCUGCAUCAUGCAUUUCUAUCAUUCAGCUUGUCACAAAUCUUGUUUUUCAUUAGAGAGGUCAAGCCAUGUUUUUAGUCAAUGAAAGGGCCAAACAUACUAAGUGCAAACUGUAGAUUCAUCAUGCAAAGUCAAUGAGUAUUGAAGGCAAUUUGACCACACUUGGAACAAGCAAGAUGUGCCAAUACAAGAGAUUUACCAGUGAAUAGCCGAGUCUUCACUGCCAAAUGCAAUUAUUUUUCAUGUGUGUGUGUGCGCGCACCUGCUAACUUGGAAAUUAUGGGGCAUGUGGGCAUCGGUAUGGGUGUGCUUCGUGUGCACGCAUGUGCAGUGUGUUCAAAUGUAAGCAAGGAGGGAGUGGGUGUGUGCGAAUGAUGUGCUCUACCUCCUAUUUCCCUAGCCAGUGUCUCUCUUCUGGAAUUUGGUUGUUUUAUUCGUCCUGUACACUGUACUCAGUUUCCUAAUUUUCUGAUUCUUUUGCUGUAGUCUAUAUGUUUUCACUAGGUUCGUGCAUUCUUGGAUUGCUUUACGUUACUUUGUGUUUUCUUUAUGUUUCUUCUUAAGCAGUUGAAGUUUGAUAUUCCAUUGCAGAGAUAAAUCACACCUCUCGUUGUCCAUGUAUUUUAUUUUGUCCUUGGUAGUACUUCCGGGGUUCCUUAUUUAGUCUCUCUCUCUCUCUCUAUUAUUUUUAUUUUUAUUUUUAUUUUUCUUUUUAUUUUUUGUUUAAUGUGAUUCAUUGCCUUGCAUAGAUCCUGUUAUGUAUGUCAUCAGUGGUGCAGGGCAUUUCAUUACCUCGGUGCAUUUCAGGAAUACCUCUUAUUCUACUUCUUCCUUUUGCUUCUGUUCCGACAAUGACAAGAAGACCGCAUAAUCCAUUUGUGCUGUGUGAGAUAAUACAAGGAAAAACCUUUCCUUAAACAUUGUGCAGCAACCUUAACCUUGAUGAGUUAUGCGUAAUCUUAUUACAGAGGUUACGUUUGGUACAGCCUUCUACCUCCUCUGUCAUAGUGGAAUUGUUUACAGCCUUAUGAAGCGACUCUCACUACGAACGGGCUUCGAACUCUGUGAGUCCCAUCCGACCAGAUAAUCGACCCGAAGAGAUCGCCCUUCGCCGAAGAGCUCUGAGCAGAGAAGGUCACUUGGAAACUCAGCAUCUUGCUGCUCUUUCCGAACUGAAGCUUAUCCGGUAUCACCUUCACAUCCAACCCUUGAGGAGAGUUAAUGCUCACCGAGUACGUAGAUUCUUCUUCUGAUCCAACAUUUGUAGCCGAUCGUUUCACCGUCCUGCUCUCCUUGUAGCUGAGAUUAGAGAUGGCAAUGGAGGGGUAAUUAAGGUCAGAGAUCAAGUCUUUGCUCGCAUUCUUUGGGCACUCGAAUCCAUCUGGAAUGGCUGUUAUGCGACGAAUCGUGGAUGAGUCGUAUCCAUAGUGGCAGAGGAACUGUAUGUAGUCGCUGGGCCCCAGUUCAUACACUAGGCCCGGUUGAAGCGCGCUGUUCGGAUUUACUUCUCCCGCACCGUAGUCAUAAGGAGUUGCUUCUGAUCCUGAAUCAGUUUUUAAUGGGUCCUUAUCGUUGUUUACCUGCGUUGCUGCAGAGAAGGAAAUUCAACACCGAGAGAUGAUAGACUGGUCUGGUCAGUUUUAUGAGGCGCAUGUGUGGCAUUUAACCUAUUCUUCUAUCCUCGAUUGCUUGUGAAUUCUGUGUCUACAGCUUUUGACAAUAAAAACAAAAUUUUAAAGUUUCCUUAUUAGAUUAUUACACUUGGGUUUUUUAGUGUAAUAGUCUUUUCCUAAACAUUUAUUCUAAAAGUAAAUUUAUUAAAUUUUUAUUUAUACAUGUAGUCUUAUGAAAGCGGUGAAUGAUUCACCGCUUUUAAAAGCGGUGAACCAUUCACCGCUUUCUUUAUUUUUUUCACUUUUUUCUAUAUUUUUAUAAUGAUAAAAGCGGUGAAUGGUUUACCGCUUUUAUUUCUUUUCUACUCCUAAUGAGAAGUUAUAAAUGCGGCGAAUUAUUCACCGCAUUUAUAAGGCUAUUUUUAUAAUUAUUUUUUUAACAAAAUUAUUUUUAUAAUUAUAAAAAUUAAUAAGAUUAUUUAUAAAAAAAAUUCAUUACACUUCCUACACCUAUUAAGUCUCGUUUGGCAGCAAGCAAAAAAUACAACAAAACUUACUAACAAUUUAGGGCUUCGUUUGGCAUCAUAGCUUUUUCUUUUUUCUUUUUCUUUUUAGCUAUACCUAAUUCUUAUUUUGGUAUGCUGGGGGAAGGUCUUUUCCUUUUGUUUGCUUAAUUGGUCAGCCUGCAAGAUACUCAGCUCACAAUGGAUUCUCAACUUAUGUUUUUUCACAGAAAAAAAUUCUUGGAAGUAACAUAAGUUGCCAAACAAACACAUUAGACAUAAGGACUGCAAGCAAUACAUCUUCUCUUCCUAUGCUAUUUCAGAUAGUUUUUUUUUUUUUUCCCCCCUCAAACAAUAAACAAAAUGGCAGCGACACCAAAUGAGGCCUUAUUUUUUUUUCCUUAUUCUUUUUUAAAGAAGACAUUGUUCCACAUCUGGCCGGAAAACAACCCAAAACCCAUAUGAUACUAAGGUCAGUUAGUUAUAUAAGUGCAUGUUCGCGCAUUGAAGGCACCUACUAUUUUCAUUUUUCCUCAAUUUUUCCUUAAUUUUCUUAUCAUAGAUCGGUUGUAAAAUGUUCACAGGUUUUGACGAUACAAGCAAAGGUCUAAGGAACUCAUCUCGUAAUAGUUCUUGUCUUUCGCUUUCUCUCACUCAUAUUCUAUGUGAUUGAAUAGGGUGUUGGAUAGCAGAUCGUUCGCUACCUCAUAACACCUCCAAGUUUGUUUGAUAACAAAACCUAAAAGCUUGGUGGUAACAUUUUUCUAUUUCUCUGUGCUUUUGUUUUGUUGUAAAGGCAUUGUUCCACAUAUGAGCCGGGUGCAUCACAAGCUAAUAGCAAUAACUGGAGAAGAGAAGUCCAUUGACUGGACUGGAACCAAGGAUCACACCCUUGCCACCCAUCCUGCCCCUUCCGGCCUGUGCCGAGAGUGUGCCAGCACGUGCCGACACCCUAUCGACAACAUAAUUUUUUUGAGUUUUUAAAGGUCUUUUUUGAGUUCUCUUGAGAUGAAAAGUUUUACAAAGAUUUUUUUUUUCAUGCUCGAUAUAUGUAAAUCUACUAACAUUUGGCCUUUUAGAUAUAGUGAAUUUGCUUAUGGUAGCGUUUUUUUCUAUAAUUUUUUAUCCAAAUACGACUCUGAUUUUGUUUGCAUGCACAUGCUUUCAUAAUCUAUGUAAAAUAACCUUUUUAGUUAUUGAAAUCUUUAUGAUUUUAUUCUUACUAAAUUGAGUGAAUCUAAUACUCGAACAACUUAUAUAGCUAUUGGAGAUAUUAAAACCAUCUAAAAAUCUAAUUUUUGAUAAAAAUUUGAUAACAUUUUGUGCCAAUGCGUGCCAGCAAAAUGGGGCCAUGCCAGUGGCGUGACAAUCCUUGACUGAAGCAUUAAAUCAACUAGAAUUCGAAUUAAAAACAAGAAAAAGGAGGGGGAGGAGGAGAAGGAUGGGGCCUAUCAGUAACUACUCUUGCUUCUUAUUCGAGACAAAGGUAAGUUUGCAAGCUAACGAACAGCAGAAAAUUGAAAAGUUGAUCUAUAUGCACCUUCAAUCUAUAAAAACUCAAGAAAACAAAAGCAGAGAACAUGUAAAACAUCAAGCGCCACCCGAAAUUUCGACUUGUCUACUUUAGAGAAGUAAGGAAAUUUCAAAUGAUUCUGACCUGAGGUCAUGAUGGCCGACCGGAUAGCAGCAGGAGUCCAUGUAGGGUUCCAAGCUUUUAUGGUCGCAGCGACUCCGGCAACAUGAGGGCAGGCCAUGGAAGUGCCAGAGACUAGAUUAAACUGCGAAGGCUUCUGGCCUACUGGGACUUCAGAUGUUGGGAUCCAUGAUGCCAGAAUGUUCACUCCAGGAGCAGCUAUAUCUGGCUGUAAGUUACAUUUUAUACUUUAUACUACAGUAAGUACUCAAAAAGUCCAAAAAUAGAUAACGCAUAAGGUAAAUUCUAAAGGGAGUCUGUAAACUGUGGACAUCAUCUUGCUUUGAUCCCUAACCGUCAAUUAGCCUAAAACUAUUGGCUCUAAAUUCACUAUGUAAUUCACUCAAACUUCCACAAUUCGGAUUCUGUUUACAAUAGUUGCUGAAUGUUGUGCAAUCGCAAUCACAAUCACAAUCACAAUCACAUGAUACUAUGUUAUUUUGCAUCCUAAUCACUAAGUUUACCUGUUUAAUCGAAAAGUAAUCUAACCAAUGUUUGUGCAUGAGGUUUCCAGAUCAAAAUAAUCUCAAGUGUAAGAGUCAUAUGCAAAAACAGGUACAUUUUCAUUGUUUUAGCCAAUUACGAGUCAACCAGAAUGGCCGCAUAGGCUUAGUAUUAGCUCUUAUUGAUGGAAAAACAUGAGAAGAGUUAAUCGAAUCAAUUGGUUGAGUUCAUGUCAUCAAUUUAAACAACAAAAGCAUACGGAUCUAACUGAAACUUGGACGACAAUUCAGGGAUUUUCUAUAUAAUUUAUCCUACUGAAUAUAUAUAGAAAUAUACGACGAACUACAUGUAAACAGAUUAAAGCUAAACUUACUUUAAGGAUGUUGCUCGUCUGAGAUGAAGGACCCCUAGAAGAGAAAUAUGCCACAGCAGGUGCUGGCUUAUACUUCGUCACGGUUAUUGUCGGUAAGAUCGUCGCUACCGGGUUCCUUAGAACAAAACCAACAAGCAAAGUUUUUGAGAAACUUUUGCAAGUACAGAUGAUUUCUUAUGCAAAUUAAUUACCCCAAAUUUGCUCUAGAAAGCCCGGUCCACCAAAAAGCAUUGCGGACUCUGUUUUAGGGUAAAUUACGCCGCUAGUUUCAAAGUUACUCAAGUUUCAUUUUGGUCUGUACAACUUUAAGCUGAAAGUGUUUCACUUUAGCCCUUAACGCAGUCUGUCAUUAUGGGAAACUAAUUUCCACCACCAGAUGCAUCGGCACAUCCGUGCACCAUACACCUACCAGCGCUCAAUCCCCUUUCUACCCGAACAUCUUACUUAAAAAUAAGACGAUUGGAUGAGUCGCAGGGCGUGGACAUGUAAGCAAGAACAUUGUUACUGAUAGUAGGUGAUGGAAAGGGCUCUAGAGACGGACAAGCUUACAAUAAUUUGAGGUUUCGAACGUGUAACAUAAAAGACUGAGAACCAAAAUGAAAGUUGGCCAAAAGCUCAGGGAACAGCCUUUCGUCUUACUUUGUUGAGUUUAUGUAGGCAAGAACAUCCUCAGCAGCCUGCGAGGAGAUCUCUGUCGCAGGAAAGCUAACGUAAGUAGUCGCGACAUGUUGUUCUAAAUCAUUCACUAAGAUUGCUCCGACUGCUCCUGUGCUAUUUAACGUGUCUAUCUUCGCCAUCUUUGGUGUGUCACUUUGCGAGUGAUUGCAUAGUACUAUCUUCCCUUUAAUCUUGUUUCCAUCUAAUGUGCCCGGCUCGCAAUGACUGAAGCAAGAAAUAAAAGAAAGGCAAGAAAUAAUAAUAAUAAUAAUAACAAAAAAGCUAUAAUCACAAAAUGGAUAAAUUGAAUGGGUAGUUUUUGUUGUGUCUCAAUAUUAAUUGUGACUUGGUCCAUGUUCAUUUCACUUGGUUACUGUGGUCCCUGACCUUUCACAUAUUGCAUUUUAGUCUCUGAGCAUCGAAGAAAAUCUGACCAUUUUACACCUCCGACGGUGAAGUCAGAUUUUUUUUUUCUUUUUUUCUCUUUUUUACACACAACAUGUUGGGACCUAUUGUAUAAAACAUAUGAGCGUUCAGAAACUAAAGUGUGUAAGUAAAAUGCACAGGAAUCAGUUAGAUUAUCAGGAUAAUUCAUGCAGAGACCGUAAAACAUGAGUGUUAUUGAACUGUUCAAUACCUUGCAGAUGAAUCCUCCGAACUUGAAUUGGACUUUGCCGAUGCACCAUAGAUUAGUGGAUAAGUUGGGGACUUGUCCAAACUAGAGAAGUUUAUAGCUUCACCCUAAAAAUCCAAAUAAUGAUAGUACAGAAAGAGAAGAAGCGGAGUUGAGCCGAUCCACAUAUUUUGAAAUUAAAGUAAGAACAGAAAACCGCGUACACAUCCCUACAAAUAAAGUCGUGAAAUUGUGCAUCUAUUCCAUAAAGCUUUUAACAAUCAAAAUACUUGCUUGUAAAAUUUACGAGUUUGCAAAUUUAUCCCUCUCCCGUCAGUUUAAGAAUUCAAAACUAACUAAUUCUUUUCUGAAAGGAAAAUGAUCACUCUAACCCUGAAAAGAAAAGGCAAAAAAAUCUUUCAAAAUUUUGAUCUUCAAUUUCCAUCCCUAACUUCUCUGUUCUAUAUACCUCUCAUGCCAUUCUUUCUAUUUGAACCCUAAAUUCCAUACUCUUUUAAAAAUAGUAAAAGGCAUUUUUCCAAAAGCAUAAUUAACGGUUCUAGAGGUACAAAAAAAAAAAAAAAAAAAAUCGGUCAAGUCUUCUGUAAGUAACAAGGAUUCAGUAAUUGUGAACUAACUAGUAAUUAGCUACUUCAAGGGAAAAGAAUGCAUAUAUAAUCGCGAAGCUUCGCAGGAUCGAUACAUAUGCAAUUGCGCCUAAUUAAGAGUGAAGUGAAAAGGGGUUGGUUUAGGCAAAGCGCCGCCGAUCACCUUGACCGCGCUCCGGUUCCCGCCCAGCACAAUAUCCGACUCGAAGUCCCUAUCAAUGGUGGUGGCUGCGACGGUGAGGAUCCACGGUGCGGCGUUCACCACCGACUCGGCCCCGGGCCCGUCGUUCCCGGCGGAGCACGCGACGGUGAUCCCUCUCGCCACAGCAUGAAAAGCGCCGAUGGCGAUGGGGUCCUCGGAGAAAUCGGGGAGGUUGAACGCAGACGCGCCGAGGGAAAUGGAGAGGAGGUCGACGCCGUCGGCUACUGCAUCGUCGAAGCCGGCGAGGAUGGCGGAGCCGGCGCACCCGAAAAAUGAGCAGACGCGGUACAUGGCGAUGCGCGCGGACGGGGCGCCCCCCCGGGCGGAGCCCGGGGCGAGGCCGUAGAAGGAAGCGGAGGGGAUGUGGGCGCCCGCGGCCGUGGAGGAAGUGUGGGUGCCGUGGCCGAGUUCGUCGCGGGGGGACGUGGUCGGCUUCGUCAGCGCCGCCUCGUCGGUAUCGUAGUAUCUGGCGCCGAUCAGCUUCCUGAUGACACCAGUGGAGAGAAUUGGUCGGCUGCUAGCUUCAAGCGUUUAGUUUGAGCGGAAAUUAAAUAGUGAGACAGCCUCGGCUAUAAAUGGGAUAUGGUUCGUGCGUUGAUGUCAAAAGGGUUAGUUAGGCGGUUGGUUUCCGACCGUUGCCGCUUUUUCACUUUAAUCCUAAACUCUAUAUAUUCUUAACUUCUAAGCCCCUUAUAUUUCAGAACAAUGCUCUAUAUAUGUACAAAAAUUAUAUAGAGAAGAGACACUCUAAACUUUAGCUCUUUUGCANAUAUAUAUAUAGAUAUCAUGAACAAAUCCUAUAAGACUUCAUAAUUAAAAAAAAUAUUUUCUUUUGAUAGUUAUGCAUGCAUGACAAUCGUAGGUUACACCGAAUUUUAAUUUUUAUGGUUUUUUUGUACAUGUUAGAAUAUAAAAAAAUAACUUUUGUUGCAUUUUGAAGCUUAAUUUAUUAAACUAUAUGCAAUACCUAUGAUUAAAACUAUAUCAUGUAAUUAAUAACUUUAAUUAAAGAUAAGGUUCUAUAUAUUGAACUAUAUGAUAAAGUUUAAAGAAUCUAACAGUCAAAAUUAAAAGUUCAAGCACCUAUUAAUAAAGAGCUUUAAGUUCAUGGCGUCUUUGUACAUUUUUUUUUCCUAUUUAAUACUGUGAAGUCUAUUUUAUCAAAAAUUUCAAUACCAAAAUUACGACGGUGGAAGAUCUACUAUUGACAUACGUAUUUGGAUAGAAACAAUUAAUUUAUUAAAGAAAUGCUAGCCAUAUAGGAGUGUAUGAUCCACACCAAAAUUUUUGUACUAUAAAUUCUAUUUUGAUGAUGAAAGAUCCGAUUUGGCAAUCAACGCUAUUAAACAUGCAUGAUUUAAAAUAUUUGAACAUUUUAGAAAGCAUGCAAAUUUGCGAUUUUUGAAACUCAUUCUCUAAACCACCAACACUCACUGAAAAAUAAACUGUUGAAAUUAAACAACUUAAUUUCUAAAAAUAGGUUAUUAGAAUAUUAAAUUUAAUACUUACUAUAGAAGUAAAUAUAAAUUAAACUAGGUAGUUCAAAAAACAUAUUUCAUAAAAAAAUAACCAAUAUGAAUUAUUCUAUACUAUUGAACUAGAAGCACCUUAUAUACGCAGUUAAAAUUACGAUAUAUUUUUGAUAAUAGUUAAUUAUCAAGUAAACGAAGGUAAAAAAUUAUAAAAUUUGACAUUUAGAAAGUUCCAGAUUUAAUGAUCGAUGUCCGAAAUGAAUACAGCAAAUUAACAUUUAAAAUGACUCAGUAUCGCAUGAGCCAGAGCCUAGCACUAGUAUUUAUUCACUAUAUAUAUAUAUAUAUAUAUAUAUAUAUAUAUAUAUAUAUAUAUAUAUAUACACAUGCACACACAGACCUGUUGCAGUUGGACGCAUUGAACUCACUGCCUUCCAUGCAAACUCCCUUCCAUCGACUAGGAAUUGGUUCAAACCCUUCAUCAUUGAAGCUCUCCGAUUCCGGCCAUAUGCCUGGUUAACCAAAUUAACGCAAACAAUUAAUAUCCACUGUUUUAGUUCACUAGUUGAAGAAUUUCUAAUUGAAGCAAUGAGUACUUGUAAAACUGAAAAUAUUUUCGUCGAGUUUUAACUGAUUGGUAAUUAAUAUGCAUACAGCUCAUUAAUUAAUUAUGCGCAACGUACAAUGCAUUGUAAACUAACGGCAUGCAUGCAGAUCUAGUGAUCUUAGUGCUAUGAUAUCCACAUACAAGAUCGAAUCUUUUGUCACACGUACGGUUGCAUAUUAAUUAGGACAAAAAAAUAUAUAUAUAAAGAUAAACAAAACAACGAAGUGAUUCAAAAUAAUACAUAACCUUAUAAUACCUGUGUCAAGAAGACCGAUGAUGGGGUCGUACGCAGGAGGUGCUGGUGAUGGGGUUGUGCCGUCUGAAUUUGGACUCGAGUCGACCACCACUGCCGUCUGCUGCAAAAAAUCCCACGAACGUGUAGUGUGAGGCUGGUAAAUCGGGUCGGCAAACACCGACACAACGCCGGCCUUUCUCCUGAGGGCCUGGGCCUCGUCCUUUGUCAAUUUCGCGGCAAACCCGGAGAAUCCAUUUUUGUAGCUUCGGAUUAUUGUCUUCUCAAUAUUCAGCCCCCUAACGCAUACGUUGUGACAGUACAAGAUCAUUUAUAUAUAUGUGCAAAUUAAGAUCUAGGUUACCUUUAAUUAAUUGGUACGUACUAUGGUUAUUCUUAUAUAUAAUAGAGUUCCAAUGAUAUAUUAUAUAUUGGCACUCUAAAAUCUUAGAAUUGACAAAAAGAUAAGGAAAAACUUCAAAAAAAAACUCCUGUGGUUUCGUACUUUUUCAUUUUAGUACCCUAUGGUUUAAAGUGUAUCAAGUUAGUACUAUGUGGUUUCGCAUUUUCUCACUUUAGUACCCUAUGGUUUAAAGUGUAUCAAGUUAGUACCCUAUGGUUUUAUUUUUUUAUCAAGUUAAUACCCUGUGGUUUUAUUUUUGUAUCAAGUUAGUACCCUGUGGUUUUUAAACCACAGGGUACUAAAGUGAGAAAAUACGAAACCACAAGGUACUAAAGUGAGAAAUUAAGUGCGAAAUCACAUGGUACUAACUUGAUACACUUUUAAAUCACAGGGUACUAAAAAAAAAAAGUGCAAAACUACAGAGUAUUAACUUUGAUACACUUUAAACUAUAUGGUAUUAAAGUGAGAAAAAGUGAAACCGGUAUUUGAAGUUUUUCCAGAAGAUAAAAUAGAAUUCUAGUUACUGAGACUUCGGUUGAUUCGUAAUAAUUUCUGAAAUUUCUAAUAGCUGAGGUCGAACUUGUUAAAGCAUUCGUUUGUUAAUUAUCAGUGACAGUUUAUAAAUAACUAUCAUUUAUCUUCCUAUAUAAUUAAGGACUUAUUUGGAAAAAUAUAAAAAUGAAAUGAAAGUAGGAAAAUGGUAUUCAUUCCAAACUGAAAUUUUCAUCUCUAUAUAGAAAUUGAAUAGUAAAAUUUGGUUCAAACUAAAGGGCCGUUUCGCUUGAUGCAGUUGCGGAUGCAUGAUAGUUGGAGAUGGAAAUACAAUAGCUGUAGAUAAAUUCAUCUUGUCGAUCUAGUUCUUCUGCACAGCCGGAGAUACUGCAUGCAAGUGUAACUACUCUGUUUUUAUACAUGUAGUUGCAUGAAAGAUGCAUGCAUCUUCAAAUAAAGUCAUGUACGUCCGGUGAGACACCAUUAAACUAUUAUAUUUUCCACUACAAAAAAUUUUGAAAUGAAUCGUAUUAAUCAUCACGGCUUUUAAAAGUUUAUUUAAUUUAAACAAAUAGUUUAUAAUUAUUCUAUAGUUGUAAAAUAAUUAAUACAAUACUAGAUAAUUAAACUUAUGAUAUAAUCUUUUUUCAAGUGAACUUAUAACAUAAUCUCAAAUAAUUAAAUUUGAUUAUUAAUAAUUUGCAUAAAUUAAUAAUUUUAAAUUACGAAAUUUAAAGUAUUUUGCGCAUUCGGCCGUGGUCGAACUGUAGCAGUACGUGUGGCUAUUUCUUGCAGGAAGAGGUGCAACAAGUAGAUGCAACUAUAGCGAAACAAAUAGCAAAACUGGCCCAACUAUAUUAUAUAUAGCUGCACGUACGGACGUGUAUUAAUUGUAAUUCCAGAUGCUUUCAUGCUACCAACUGUAUAUAUAGUUGGACCUGCGUGCAUUCUUUGAGAUGCCAUGUAUUCCGACAUAACGUUUUGAUAUUUUCUUAUUAAAAAAAAGAAAAAAUAAUAAUAUAUAUAUAUAUAUAUAUAUAUAUAUAUAUAUAUAUAUGUAUAUAUAUAUAUAUUCCACCCUCAAAUUCAAUGUUUAAAAAAUUUACUUGUUUAAUCAGUUCAACCAAUAAUAUUAGUAUAACAUUAUAAAUUUUUUAAUUACUAAUUUUUAUAUAUAUUAAAACAAGAAAUAAUAAUAUAAUUAUAAUUAAUUGAGUUAAUAUAUGUAGGUAAUCGCGGCGUGUGAUUCUUUCAAAACCUAAUGUUUUGAAUUGUUGAAUCAAAGACUAACAAAAAAGAAAAAGCUUGUUGAAUCAAAGAUUACCGGUUUAACUACUAGUUGAGCUUUCACUUUCAACUGUUCAAUAUGAUUUUUUGAGCCAUCAAAUUUUAUGGUUUGACUCGGACCACGAAAACUUCUGGUCGAGAAUCAAGAUAAAAUAUCGGCGGAGGAAUAAUACAUUAAUAAACCCGAAACCUUGUCCACAUGGACGGAACCAUUGUGAGGCUCACGGUGGCCAUGACCUUCCUUAACUUUUAAAAAUGAUAUAUAAGUCCUUUAUAGUAAAAUUAAAAUAUUAUAUAUUUUUGUUUUGGGGGAGGCGCAAAUUGGUUUUUUUUUAAUAAAACUUGUAUCUCAAAUUUUUUUCAAAUCUUUUGAUCAUUUUCCUUCGAUUAUUACAAUUUUGCUUCUCCUUGAGCAUAUUGUUGCUACUGUCAUUAGCAAUAGGUGACCAGAGAACAUAACAAACUCUUUUUCUUACUAUCCAACUCUAACUCCUGUCUUCCUCCCUGCCUAUCCAUCUGUAUCAUCUCUUCACGGGUGUUUGCUUGGAGGUUACGAGGGGAGAUAAGGGGUUAUCCCCCCUUUAUCCCCAAACAAGAUUGAAAUGGGGUGAGGUUAACAAACCGCACCCCACCCCUGGAAUUGGGGUGGGGGAUUAGCUAAUCACAUCCCAAUUUAAUUUUUAAAUUUAAUUUUAAAUUUUAAAUUUUAAAUUUUAAAUUUUAAAUUUUAAUAAUUUGUAAUCUUAAAAUUAACACUUAUAAUUUUAAAUUCUAAAAUUUAAAUUUUAAAUUUAAAAUUAUUUUUUUUAAUUUUUUAAAAUUUAAAUUUUGAUAUUUGAUAUUUUUAAAUUUAUAUUUAAUCUUAAAUUUAAAAUUUAAAUUNUAUGCUACUAUUCUAUCGAUAGUAUCAAUUAAGAGUUUGGUACUAUUGAGUUUCGACUGUUGGAAGAAAAGAUGUGCGGUUAGGAUGAUAAUGGUUUUUAGUUAGGAUGAUAGUAACACCUUAGAAUUGAGUGGAUUGUUGGUUGAAUAGUAUAAUUUAACGGGUGAAAAUAAUUAAAGGGUAAAUCAAAAGGCAGAAAACUCGAUAGUACCAAAAGUUUGGUACUAUCGAUAGUAUAGUAGCCGAACUCUCUCUCUCUCUCUCUCUCUCUCUCUCUCUAUAUAUAUAUAUAUAUAUAUAUAUAUAUAAUAUAUAUAUAUAUAUACAAGUCUUUUGCAACAAGAGCAGACCAUUAUCAUUUCAAGAGUCCCCUUAUAUAUAUAUUCACUAGAUUUUAUUUUGUCUACGAAAGAUUUGAAUGAGCAAAAGAAUUAAGAUUUUAAUGGAGAAGGCAGCUGAGAGUGGAUAUUUUUUUAACCUUGUCAAAACUGAACGAAGAAGCCGAAUGUGACUCUCCCUCAAGCUGUCCCCAGAUGUAUCAUCUGGAACACCUCCCAUGUACACUACAUAAACUUCUCUCUCCUGAUCAUCUCCGGUACUAGCCUCUCCGAGAAAUAAGAGGAAGCAGAAUAAAACGGACACCCUAAGAAAAUCUGUAUGAAUAUGAAAACCCCUCAUUUUUUGCUCUAAUUAUAACUUGUCUCUACAAUGUAUGUAUGUGUUCUCUAUGAUAUUAUCAUGUAUAUACUAGCAUUUAUAUAGAGAGUGAGAGAGUGAGAAAUGGUAAGUGGGUGGGUGGCACAAGCGUGGCUUAGUGGGUGCGUUCUGAUUGUUGCAGCAAAGUGCUCUCUCAACUUCUAAUUAGUGCGCCAUGCACAAAUUUCUUGUCUUUAUCCUGACACUGUUGCUACAAAGAGAUCUCUUGCCUUCUUUCUUUUCCUUUUGGCAUCCAAUACUAUAGAGCGUAUAUCAUUAAUAGUUCAAUCCGACGAUUAUUAUGUUGUCUAAUUGGACUGAGAUUAAUCUCGCUUUUAAAUUGGAAAGCUAAUUAGAAAUAUAUUCUAACCAUAUUAGGAUAACAAUCAAAAACUGAUUCGGCCUAAUCUUUUACGUACUUUCCUAUUAAGAUUUCAUGAUUUCUUAUAAAUAUACGGGAUAUCUCUCAUAAGAUGUGACAAGAAAAAUAACAAGAAAUAAAACAAUAAUUUAUGAGCAUCUUGUUAGAGAGAGAAACCACAUCCUCCAUUAACCUAUUGUUUUUUAGAGGGUCUUGAACGGUGGAUUCGAGAUCGUGCUCGUUUAUAGUUUGUUCUACUGUAGGAAUGGAACGUUAGAAAACUUUCGUGGACGAUUCGAGAACACGUGAAUCAACCUCUAUACGAUCUGGCCUCAUCGCAUUCUAGCGCGAGUCGCUCCUUUAAAAGGUACGAACGAAUACUUUCGAUGCGUUCUACAUUGAUAUAUGAGUCUUAUUAGGUUGAUUUCGCGCCCUAAAUUAUUCUUUAAUGAGAUUACAUGCGUAGAAUUAAAUCUAUCAUCGUUUAGAUUUUUUCUUUCAUGUUUGUGGGCGUUAAUAGCGGAUUUUUUUAGGGUGGAUAUAUUUGCAUAAUUUUUAUACAUCUUGUAGUAUCUUUGUUGUAAAUAAACAUGCAUAUAAAGUUUGAUUUAAUUUAGUUUUGUAUUUUAUGAGAAAAACGAAAUUCUAUAUCGAAAUUUUACUGGUGGCUUGUUUAAUGUGUAAAUGUAUAUUCCCAUUAUAAAACUUGCAUGACUUAGUAGAGCUCUUGGCAAGCUUUUUAUUGAUAUAUUUCUUAUAAAAUUUGAAGUUUUAUUUUUAAAGGUAUAAUUUUUUAAAAUUUAUUCAUCCAUUAAAAAAUAAAAAAUAAAAAAUUUGUUGGGAGGGACCCACGCAGCUUGGAGCCGCGUGGGUGCGCACGUAAGCGCGCAGGGCGCAUGCCCACUUUAGGCCGACUCCACAUGCUGGACCCGUGUAUCACUAUGCACAUGAUGCUACAGGGAUUUAAAUAAAUAAAUAAAUAAAUAAAUGAGAAAAUCUUUGUAGCUGUGGAACCCCAUCCAUAUGAGGCUUGGGGCGCACCGCGCACGGGAAGCGCGUCCGCGGCUUCGCGUGGAACGCGCAUGCAGGCGCGUCCUUGCCAGGCCACGCGGAGCCCUCACAGGGCCCUUUUUCUUGCGCUUGGGCCGCACAUAUGUGGCCAUGUACAUGCGCUAAAUAAAUAUAUAUAUAUGUACAAAAUGAAAUAUUUUUUUAGUAUAUUAAAUGAUUUAGUUUGUGACAUACGUUGCAUGCAUUUAUUAUAAUUAAUUUAAUUAUGUCUUUCAUAAUAUAUAGAUGUAAUUUUUGGCCUAAUAGAAAAUUUUUUCAUGCAUGCUAAGUCAAGUGGGAGUUUUUAUUUUGCUAGAGUAAAUUAUAUAUUUUACUUCUAAAUAUUUUAUUCAUCUUAAUUAAAUAAUUAAAAAUUUUGACAUAUGGUGUGUGAUGUGAUUAUGAGUAUAGCAAAAUUUUUCUUUACACACCUAUAAUGUAAUUUUUAGUUUAUUUAAUUAGAGAUGCGACAAAAUUGAAUAUACGUAUUGUGUGCUAAUUUUUAAUUUAUCUUUUUCUGCGCAUUGUGUAAAUUUAGUGAAAUUAAAUAAUCUCCAAACAAGAGUGCUCACGCUCGCCGAGGUAUGGAAGUCUAUAAUAAUUGGCUUAAAAAGGGUUGCAUCGCUCGCAUCAUGUUGCUGAGCAAGAUAAAAAAUGAUCUAUUGUACGAAUAUGAGCAAUACUCGACUGCAUUUGACAUGUGGAAAGCUCUCAAAACUAAAAUUGGUACGACUUCGGCCACAAAAUUGCGCAGCCUAGUUAUGCGGUUUGAGAGUUAUAAGAAGCGUGUCGAUCAGACCAUAAAACAGCACGUGAGAAUAAAGUCAAACUUGAUUCGCGAAUUAAGGUCGGCUAGCGGCAUCUUGACUGAUGAGCAGUAGAUCCAAGCUAUGAUUCGUUUACUUUCUAAUUCGUGGGAACACAUGCGAGGAAAUUUGACAUAUAAUAAAAGUGUUAAAAUUUUUGAGGAUGUUGCGUGGCAUCUGAAGUUGGAGGAGGAGCUCCUUAAGGCUGUUAAAACUCCAACUGCUAAUGCUGCUGAGUUAAAUUUGCAGAACAUCUCGGUUCAAACGAAAAAGAACUAGUGGGCCUCAAAACAUAUCAGAUCUGCAACUAAGAAUGCGAAAAGCACCAAAAGAAAGAGAAGCAAACGAGGUGGCAAGAAAGACAAGUCGAAGAUCACCUGUUUCAAUUGUACCCAGCUGGGACACCACUCGUGAUUGUACUGAGCCGAAGAAGGUAUGUAACGACCCAGCCCACUAGCAACAAUAACUCGUUGGGCCCAACCACCGGCCCAAAAUACUUAAGCCCAGUUAUUAUUACUGUUGUCUAAGUCUCUUAUACAUAUUUAUUUUUCCCGAUUUAAUUGGUAUAUUUUUUAUAAGGCCAAUUUGCAUAAAAAACCUAUUAGUUUUUAGCUUUUGUGAAAGUAUGCCGCCUUUUUGGAUUUUACAGAUUCGAACUGAAUUUUUCGAAAACUGACCAAAAAACCCAUUUUUCCUUUUCUUUAUUCUCUUUUUUUUUCUCUCGUUCUUUUUUUCCUCUCUUCGAAGAUGGCGGUGGAGGCGAAGGCGGAGGCAGCCGCCUUGCCUCUGUCUCGCGCGCUCUCGCCCUUGCUCGUGUAUCCUCCCUCCGCCUUCUCGCCUCUAACCUCGCCGAGGCUAUGCCUUGACCCUCUUUUUUUUCUCUCCGACCCUCCUCCAUUGCCUCCCCGGCUCUUUAUAAUAGUAAAGAGAGCGGCGUCACGUCCUCUUCCUUUUCUUUUUUUUUUCUCUUCAACCCCUCUCUACCGUCUCCGCGAUCCUCCACAACGGUAACGAGGACAGCAUCGCACCCUUUUCCUCCGCCUUCGCUGGCGCAGGCACCGACGCCGGUGCUAGAGAAAGAAGACUCAGAGUAAGUGCGGUUGAAAACGGAGCCAAGAAAAAAAAAUGCAGAAAAUAAAAAAUUAAAAAGAAUAAAGAAUAAAAUAUAAAGAAAAAUAUUUUUUUCUAGAAGAAAAAUUAAUAAGGAACCAGAGAGAAAAGAAAAAAUUGAUGAAAUUGCACUAUUUAAGAAAAAUGUUGCAUUAUUUCAAGAGAACAUUGCACUAUUUUUGAAAAAAUUUACCCUCUUUGAGAGAGAAAAUAUACUUUUUUAGAUGAAAAUUGCACUUUUAGAACGAAAGUUUCACUCUUUGAACAAAAAUUAUACUAUUUGCCGAAAAUUGCACUAUUUGGCUAGAAAAAAGAUAAGGAGGAGAAAAAAUAGUUUAAUUUUUGUCCAAAUAGUGUAUUUUUUCAUUUAAAGAGUGCAACUUCCGUUCAAAGAGUGCAACUUUCAUCUGAAAAAGUAUAUUUUUUUUUCAAAGAGUGUAAAUUUUCUCUAAAAUAGUGCAAAAUUUUCUUAAAACAGUGCAACAUUCCCCUAAACAGUGCAAAUUUAUCAUCUUCUUUUCUCUUUGGUUCUACAUUUUUCUUGUAGAAAUAACUAUUUUUUUUAUAUUUUAUUCUUUAUUCUUUUUAUUUUUUAUUUUUUGCGUAUUUUUUUCUCGACUCCGCUCUCACCCGCACUCUCUCCAAGUCCUCUUUGUCUCGAUGAAGGCGGAGGAAAAGGAUGCGGCGCUGUUCUCGUUACCGUCGUGGAAGGUCACGAAUGCAGUAGAUGGGGGUUGAAGAGGAAAAAAAAAGAAUGGGAGAAAAAAAAGAAAUGAAGGGGAUGUGAUGCUGCCCUCUUUACUGUUGUAAAAAAUCGGGGAGGCGGUGGAGGAGGGUCGGAGAGAAAAAAAUAAAAAAAGAAGAGGGUCGAGGUGCGGCCUCGGUGGGGUCUGAGGUGAGGAAGGCGGAAGGAGGGUGCGCGUGCAAGGGCGAGGGCUAGGGCAAGGACGCACGGGACAGAGGCGAGGCAGGCCGCCUCCGCCUCCACUUCCACCACCCUCUUCGGAGAGAAAGACAAAAAAGAACAAGAGAAAAAAAAAAAGAGAGAGAGAAAGGGGAAUAAGAAUAUUUUGGUCAGUUUUCUGAAAAUCCUGCUCGAAUCUGUAAAAUCUAAAAAGGCGGUCUAGUUUUACAAAAGCUCAAAGCUAAUAAUUUUUUUAUGCAAAUUGGACUUUUUAUAAUUUAUAUUUAUAUAAUUAUAAUUCUUUUAAAGCAAUUGGAUACCCAGUGGACUAGGGUUGGCAAAUGAGCGAGCCGGCUCGUGUUGGACUCGCGUUCGGCUUGAUAUUCAGCUCGCUCGAGCUCGGCUCGAAUUAAUUUUAAGCUGAGNNNNNNNNNNNNNNNNNNNNNNNNNNNNNNNNNNNNNNNNNNNNNNNNNNNNNNNNNNNNNNNNNNNNNNNNNNNNNNNNNNNNNNNNGAUGGUGACCAGCCAACAAGGCUCAGCGACAAAACAUGAAGCAACCAAACACCGUCGGAAAAAAUCCGAACCGAAACCGCGUUCUUUCGACGAAUUUCGUCGAAAAACGCACCGAAAUCGACCUACCGAUUUCCGCGAAAGCUAACGGACCAUGGAAAAUCAGUCCAGCGGUCAUUACAAACUCCCACACACUGCCCACAGUAGCCACGCAAAGCACAAUUUCAUAAAAGACCCUCUAAUUACAUAAAAUCUCAUCAUUUUAUGUAAUUUGAGCGAUCAAGCGGCUCGUUCACGCAAACCGAGGACUUCCGAAGUACGCAGAGACACGUACUGACAGGUCUCGAUGUACCGGAGUCCGUGCUCACGAUCCGGAGCACAGCGGCUCGCUGUGGGAAGCGCGGGAGCAACCCGAAGGUUCAGCGAAUAGCGCGCAGUCAGGGAAGAUCGCGCCAAACAGAACUAACCGGACACUUCUGAUCCAAAGUGAGGUGAUCACUGUGAUCAGCACUGACCAACGAUCACUGUGCUCACCUCCGGAGGCAUCAGGACAGCCUCGGAUUGCCGGAUAAGCAUGCGCAAGCCCAAAACAGCAGCCAAAAAGGCUGAAACGGAGCGACAUCGCCAAAACAGCGGAACGGGGUCUCCCCGACAGAAACUAAGGUGAGUACGAUGAUCAAAAAAUAGCUAUGAUCAUCGUGCUCCCUUCCGUACAGAUCGGGGAAGCUCGGGAAGCCCAGAACAAGAAACCCACUCAAAUAAGCCCUAUUUCGGGCUUGGCCGGAGCAACCUUGCUCCGGCCGGCCUCCGGCGGCACGGCGGCGCGCGCGGGGGCCAGGGUCGAGUACGGGGGUGGUGAGGAACUCCGUGCUCACCUCGGUUGACGGCGGGGUGCGGCGGCGGCGUCGGGGAAGCAAGCUCAGCCCGCACGAGCUCCAGCUCGGGUUCCACGGGCAAUGGCGGCCACGGCGGCAGCCGAGGAGUUCCGGGACGGCGGAGGAGGGUUGCAGAAGGCCGGAGGGGUGCCAGGAGUUCGACCUCGAGCGGCGGCGGCGUGG